AUUGAACGCUGGCGGCAGGCCUAACACAUGCAAGUCGAGCGGCAGCGGGUCCUUCGGGAUGCCGGCGAGCGGCGGACGGGUGAGUAAUGCCUAGGAAUCUGCCUGGUAGUGGGGGAUAACGUUCGGAAACGGACGCUAAUACCGCAUACGUCCUACGGGAGAAAGUGGGGGAUCUUCGGACCUCACGCUAUCAGAUGAGCCUAGGUCGGAUUAGCUAGUUGGUGGGGUAAAGGCUCACCAAGGCGACGAUCCGUAACUGGUCUGAGAGGAUGAUCAGUCACACUGGGACUGAGACACGGUCCAGACUCCUACGGGAGGCAGCAGUGGGGAAUAUUGGACAAUGGGCGAAAGCCUGAUCCAGCCAUGCCGCGUGUGUGAAGAAGGUCUUCGGAUUGUAAAGCACUUUAAGUUGGGAGGAAGGGCAGUAAGUUAAUACCUUGCUGUUUUGACGUUACCAACAGAAUAAGCACCGGCUAACUUCGUGCCAGCCGCCGCGGUAA
rnacentral:rRNA from 1 species